AGUGAACGCUGGCGGUAGGCCUAACACAUGCAAGUCGAACGGCAGCACAGUAAGAGCUUGCUCUUACGGGUGGCGAGUGGCGGACGGGUGAGGAAUACAUCGGAAUCUACUUUUUCGUGGGGGAUAACGUAGGGAAACUUACGCUAAUACCGCAUACGACCUACGGGUGAAAGCAGGGGAUCUUCGGACCUUGCGCGAUUGAAUGAGCCGAUGUCGGAUUAGCUAGUUGGCGGGGUAAAGGCCCACCAAGGCGACGAUCCGUAGCUGGUCUGAGAGGAUGAGAAGCCACACUGGAACUGAGACACGGUCAAGACUCCUACGGGAGGCAGCAGUGGGGAAUAUUGGACAAUGGGCGCAAGCCUGAUCCAGCCAUACCGCGUGGGUGAAGAAGGCCUUCGGGUUGUAAAGCCCUUUUGUUGGGAAAGAAAAGCAGCAGGUUAAUACCCCGCUGUUCUGACGGUACCCAAAGAAUAAGCACCGGCUAACUUCGUG
rnacentral:rRNA from 1 species